CCUAACCCUGACCCCCUGACCUUUAGAUGGCCUGUCUCCUGGCAAUGUUAUGGCCCACUCCCCUUAGCUACGCUGCUACGUGGGCUGCAUUGUGUGAUCCCUAUUAGAAGACACACUGUUUCCAAAGUACAGAGCAAAAACUCAGAAUCCCAAGACUGUCCUAUCAGAUCAAUCCUGUGCAAUUCCAGAUCAAUAAGAAAGAAAACAGCUUUUAUUGUGUGUCUUAUACCCCACUUCCUAUAGACCGUAAGCUUGUUUUAGCAGGGUCCUCUUCAACCUAGUUCCUGUAAGUUUUCUCGUUACUGUCCUAUUUAUAGUUACAUCCCCCCUCUCAUAAUAUUGUAAAGCGCUACGGAAUCUGUUGGCGCUAUAUAAAUGGCAAUAAUAAUAAUAAAUCCCAGACCAAUAUCAGUCCACAAACCCCAAUCUUUUGAAUGCAUAGCCCAUUGCCUGCCCAGGCUUCUGAGACUAACUCAAGACACACCACAUGACGUGGUUGUGCGCUUUCAAAACAAAAGACGCACUACUCACAGCGGCACGCAAACUUACUAAGCUACCUGAGCCUUAUUCCAACAUCCAGAUAUAUGCUGACCUAUCGGUGCUGACAGUGAGCCGCCGGAGAGAGUUUCUUACAGUAACGAAAAUGCUGAGCAAUAACAACAUUCAAUAUCGCUGGGGCUAUCCGACGAAGGUCCUCAUUUGGAGAGAUUGAAGAACGCACACUGUUAAUGAACCGGAGGUGUGCAUGCGUCUCAUCAACGAAUGGGGACUAUUCCCUUAACAAGC